GAUGAACGCUGGCGGCGUGCCUAAUACAUGCAAGUCGAGCGAACGGACGAGGAGCUUGCUUUUCUGAUGUUAGCGGCGGACGGGUGAGUAACACGUGGAUAACCUACCUAUAAUACUGGGAUAACUUCGGGAAACCGGAGCUAAUACCGUAUAAUAUUUUGAACCGCAUGGUUCAAAAGUGAAAGACGGUCUUGCUGGCACGUAUAGAGGGAUCCGCGCUGCAUUAGCUAGUUGGUAAGGUAACGGCUUACCAAGGCAACGAGGCAUAGCCGACCUGGGAGGGGGAUAGGCCACCUGGGAACGGAGCCGCGGUCAAGAGGACUACGGGAGGCCGCAGUCGGGAAUGUGCGGCAGUGGGGGAAAGCCUGACGGAGCAAGCGGGAGUGAGUGAUGGCGGUCUUGGGUGCGUAAAACUGUGUUAUUAGGUGAAAACAUAUGUCGCCGGAAAUGUGGAGAUCUUGACGGUACCUGAUCAGAAAGCAACGGCUAACUACGUG
rnacentral:rRNA from 1 species